AGUGAUCUUGCAAAAGUGAUCUGUCAAUCAUUUAUAAAUAAAAUUACUUCUUCCAUUUGCAUUAAUUUCUUGCAAUAUAAAAUGGAAAUGUUUGGUGCUUUCCUACCUUUUUGUAGCGUUCAGGAUGAAGGAUGCAUUCUGAGGUGUAAGAUUCUGAAACAGCUUCUGCUUUUAUUUCAAUUUUUCUACAAAUGAAUCAGAAAAAAAAAAAAUAUAUAAGAACUUCACUAGGUUUUGUAUAUGUUGCUUCUGUCUUUUAUAUCAAUUAUUUUUUUUCCCUCAUUGCAGAUGCUCCUUAAUUAGUGUAAUCUAGAUCGACCUAACCUGUUGCUCUUGAGAUGUCUGCUACACACUGAUGUAAAUUUGAUAUAAGUGAAGAAGUUAUGGACUGUGGUGGGGGGCAAAGGAAAAAGUUACGUGUCAUGCAGCUUUUUUUUUUUCAAAAAAAAAAAAUACUUGCUGAAAAAUUUGAAUGAGGAAGUACUGAAUAUGGUAAAGUGGGAUCCUAGUUUACAAAGAGCUUCCAGGUCACUUCUAAUAACUACUAUUCAGACAUCACAGUUUAACCCAAUGUAAAAUCACAGCACUUCCAUCUAGCACUAGGUGUUCAUAUCUUCUGAAAAAUAUGAAUCAUUCUGCUCUUGUAAAAACCUAUUUAUCUCAUAAAAUGUGUAUGCAUUUUCAAUGUUGACUUAGAUGUGUACAACUCCUCCUCAGUUCUGAGUGUUCUUGUCUUCCUACAUGCUGUACAGGUUGCUAUCCCAAUAAGGAUGGUCCUCUGGGAAAGGAAUAAGUGAAUGCAGGACCUGCAUUGUGAGAUACAUAGCUGAGCUGAACAGCUGGAGAAAAUGUAGCUAAUUAAACCAAAUGCUGCAGUCAAAGGGAGUUGAAUUAUGCUCUCUAGAGAUGGCUGUGGGCAGACAACUGAUCCUGUUUUGCCUUCUAUUCCUUUGCAAGACAGACACAACUAGAAUUACUCCCAGCUGUCAUCUAUGGACUUCUCAAAACUUCUUCACAAUUUGGAGGCUGGAAACAGCUGAAAGUACCGAUUAAAACCAUCUGACCCCAUGAAUCACCAAAACACUAGGGACACUGAUAAAAAGACUCGGGUGUACAGCAUCAAUGACUAAAAACAGAAAAAACCCUUAUCACUUUUAAGUUUUUACAGUUUAUACCAGUGUGGACUAUAAUUUAUGAAAGCAGAAAGCCUUUUGACUACAGCUUCUUCUCUGCCUCACAGUUUAUUUGGGAAACGGAGAGAACCUAGAUUCCAGUUCCAUUUCCUAGGUUAGUCACCAACAUUGUAUUUGCUGUAGCUUGUUACCUCUCUUUUCUGGAAUAUUUAACCACAGGAGUCUUAUGCAAAGGAAAUGGGGAGAUGGCAGUAAAUCUGGAGUGGUCAGAGUGCUGCUCUGCCUUUGCCUGCCUGGGCAGGAACGGGCAAACAGCUGGUAACUGCUGUUCAGGACUUGGGUAGAUUAUGUCAUUCCCAGAAACUGGCAUGCCAUUUGUGCAGUAGUUAGAUUUUUCUCCCCUAUGAACACCUCGCAAAGUAGGCUUUCAUGGGUCUGAUCCAGUAAUGGCAAUUUUGUACAAAUUUAGUUUAGUUCAAUGUCUUGGAAAUUACUUGAUUGAAAUGUAAUUGCUACUACUCUCCAGAGAACUGAAUUAUGCUAAUAAGAAAUAGUCUUAGUUUUCUAGUGCUUUAUUUAAGAUAUAAAAUAGAAAUUCAACCUCCCACACCCUUUUUUUAAUUUAUCAAUAAAGUCAUUCUAGUCCUUGCA
rnacentral:lncRNA from 1 species